CUAAGCAGACCUGCACUUGAAUUCCAUAACAAUAUAAGAAGGAUGGGCAAAUACCUUGACUGUGCAAGUUCUCUCAUUUCAUCAAUGUCAACAUACCAGUGUGAUCUUGGUUAUGAGCUGUUAACAUCACACGAAACUCUGAUGUAGAACCAAACAGUAGGAGCUUCCUGGAGUGAGAAAAGCUUCUGGUGAGGAACAGUUCCACACCCUGCCAGACCUCACUCUUUGGACACUGUUCUCAUUAUGUGUGCCUGAACCUGCUCACAGCUGUUUUCAUCCAGGUGCUGGAAGUACUGCAGUAGAUGGGCACAACAACGUUUUACUAGAAAGCACUGGCUAUUUUGUUCUCAACACACAUUUCCAACACAUGAUCUGUGGGGCUAGAAGCUAAAAUGUGGCUAACAUAUUUUUGGUACUACAGGUCAAAUGUUGAACUGUCUGGAGCCAUAAUAUACCUCUGAGAGCCCAUGUGAAGAAGGUGUCUAUGAACAUGUCCCCCUCUGCCUGAUCAAGACAGUAUAUAAGGUCGAUAUACCCCAGUUGCAAAGGACUUCAGCUUUCAGCUCUGGCAGUGACGGCUUCAAUUUCAAGUUUCAGCCAAG
rnacentral:lncRNA from 1 species